rnacentral:rRNA from 1 species
GACAGAGGGGGCAAGCGUUGCUCGGAAUCACUGGGCGUAAAGGGCGCGUAGGCGGGAUGGCAAGUCAGUCGUGAAAUCUCUCGGCUCAACCGAGAAACGUCGGCUGAUACUGCCGUUCUUGAGGGAUGCAGAGGAGACUGGAAUUCACGGUGUAGCGGUGAAAUGCGCAGAUAUCAGGAGGAACACCGGUGGCGAAGGCGGUUCUCUGGGCAUUACCUGACGCUGAGGAGCGAAAGUGUGGGGAGCGAACAGG